GGGGGAAAAAUUAAUAAUUUAUAAAUAAUAAAAAAAUUUUUAAAUAAGAAUAAUUUAAAGGGGGGUUAAAGUAUUUUUAUUGAAAAAAUUAAUUAUUUUAUAGUGUAAUAGUAUUGUGAAAGAAUUUUGAAAUAAUUGAAAAUUUAAAUUAUUUAAAAGUAAUUUUAAUUUAAUGUAUCUUGUGUAUCACAGUUUAUUAAAAAUUUUUAUUAUAUAUUAAAUUCUCGAAUUUAAUAGAGAUAAUUAAUUAAUAAAUUUAUUGUAGCAAAAAUAUUUUAAAUAAUUAAUUGGAAAUGAAAUGUUAAUCGUUUUUACAUAUAUCUAGAUUUUUUAGAAAAAAAUUUAAUUUUAUAUUAUCUUAUAAAAUUUUUAAUUAAUUAAAAAUUUUAUAAGAUAAUUUUAUAUUUUAGGGGAUAAGCUUUAAAUUAAAUUUAUAUAAAUUUUAUUAUUUAAAAAUUGAAAAUUAUAUGAUUUAUAUUGUUAAUAAAUUUUAGUUUAUUAUAAAUAAUUUCAUUGAUAAAUAAAAUUUAAAAUAAAUUUUAUAUUUUUAUAAAAAAAAAAUUAAAAAUAAAAUUUGAUUUAAUAUAAUGAUAAAAUUAGUAUACAUAUAUAAUAUAAUGUUUAAUUUAUAUUUUUAUUUAAAAAAUAAUUAAAAGGAAUUCGGCAAAAAUUUAUAUUCACUUGUUUAUCAAAAACAUGUCUUUUUGUAAAUAAUAUAAAGUCUAAUCUGCCCACUGAUUUAAUUAUUAAAGGGCUGCAGUAUUUUGACUGUACAAAGGUAGCAUAAUCAUUAGUCAUUUAAUUGAUGACUUGUAUGAAAGAUUGGAUGAAAUAUAUACUGUCUCUUAUUUAUAAUAUAAAAUUUAAUUUUUUAGUUAAAAAGCUAAAAUUAAUUAAAAAGACGAGAAGACCCUAUAGAGUUUUAUAAAUUAUAAUUAUUAAGAUUAUUUAUAAAAUUAAUAAUUAAAAUAAUUUAAUUUAAUUUGUUGGGGUGACAAAAAAAUAAAAAUAACUUUUUUUUUAUAAAACAUAAAUAAGUGAAUAAUUGAUCCAAUAUUAUUGAUUAUAAGAAAAAAUUACCUUAGGGAUAACAGCGUAAUUUUUUUUUUUAGUUCAUAUAAAAAAAAGAGUUUGCGACCUCGAUGUUGGAUUAAGAUAAAAUUUAAAUGCAGAAGUUUAAAAUUUUUGAUCUGUUCGAUCAUUAAAAUCUUACAUGAUCUGAGUUCAAACCGGUGUGAGCCAGGUUGGUUUCUAUCUUUUAAAAUAUAAAAUAUUUUAGUACGAAAGGAUUAAAUAUUUAAAUUAAAUUUAUAUAAUGAAUGAAUUUUAUUAAAUUUUAUUUAAAAAUAUAAUUAAAAUAAAUAAAUAUAUAUAUAUAUAUAUAUAUAUCUAAUUUUUA
rnacentral:rRNA from 1 species